rnacentral:rRNA from 1 species
GCCUACGGGCGGCUGCAGUGGGGAAUAUUGGACAAUGGGCGAAAGCCUGAUCCAGCAAUGCCGCGUGAGUGAUGAAGGCCUUAGGGUUGUAAAGCUCUUUUACCAGGGAUGAUAAUGACAGUACCUGGAGAAUAAGCUCCGGCUAACUCCGUGCCAGCAGCCGCGGUAAUACGGAGGGAGCUAGCGUUGUUCGGAAUUACUGGGCGUAAAGCGUGCGUAGGCGGUGACUCAAGUCAGAGGUGAAAGCCUGGAGCUCAACUCCAGAACUGCCUUUGAAACUAGGUCGCUAGAAUCUGGGAGAGGUGAGUGGAAUUCCGAGUGUAGAGGUGAAAUUCGUAGAUAUUCGGAAGAACACCAGUGGCGAAGGCGGCUCACUGGACCAGAAUUGACGCUGAGGCACGAAAGCGUGGGGAGCAAACAGGAUUAGAUACCCUUGUAGUCA